rnacentral:sRNA from 1 species
UUGGAUAUUUUUCAUCCAAAUGACAUGAAAAGUAACGCGCAACACUUUCAAAGCCGGGAAAAUUAGCGGCUUCUUGCGCUUGGUCAGUUUACUUACUACAAACAAUGGGUACUAUGUACGCCGGUCAUUUUCUCAUUUUCGAGAGA